rnacentral:rRNA from 1 species
AUCAAAUGGAGAGUUUGAUCCUGGCUCAGGAUGAACGCUGGCGGCAUGCCUAAUACAUGCAAGUCGAACGAAGUUUCUAGGAAGCUUGCUUCCAAAGAGACUUAGUGGCGAACGGGUGAGUAACACGUAGGUAACCUGCCCAUGUGCCCGGGAUAACUGCUGGAAACGGUAGCUAAAACCGGAUAGGUAUGAGGGAGGCAUCUUCCUCAUAUUAAAGCACCUUCGGGUGUGAACAUGGAUGGACCUGCGGCGCAUUAGCUGGUUGGUGAGGUAACGGCCCACCAAGGCGAUGAUGCGUAGCCGACCUGAGAGGGUGAACGGCCACAUUGGGACUGAGACACGGCCCAAACUCCUACGGGAGGCAGCAGUAGGGAAUUUUCGUCAAUGGGGGGAACCCUGAACGAGCAAUGCCGCGUGUGUGAAGAAGGUCUUCGGAUCGUAAAGCACUGUUGUAAGUGAAGAAUGCCACAUAGAGGAAAUGCUAUGUGGGUGACGGUAGCUUACCAGAAAGCCACGGCUAACUACGUGCCAGCAGCCGCGGUAAUACGUAGGUGGCAAGCGUUAUCCGGAAUCAUUGGGCGUAAAGGGUGCGUAGGUGGCACGAUAAGUCUGAAGUAAAAGGCAACAGCUCAACUGUUGUAUGCUUUGGAAACUGUCGAGCUAGAGUGCAGAAGAGGGCGAUGGAAUUCCAUGUGUAGCGGUAAAAUGCGUAGAUAUAUGGAGGAACACCAGUGGCGAAGGCGGUCGCCUGGUCUGUAACUGACACUGAUGCACGAAAGCGUGGGGAGCAAAUAGGAUUAGAUACCCUAGUAGUCCACGCCGUAAACGAUGAGAACUAAGUGUUGGAGAGAUUCAGUGCUGCAGUUAACGCAAUAAGUUCUCCGCCUGGGGAGUAUGCACGCAAGUGUGAAACUCAAAGGAAUUGACGGGGGCCCGCACAAGCGGUGGAGUAUGUGGUUUAAUUCGAAGCAACGCGAAGAACCUUACCAGGCCUUGACAUGGAUAUAAAUGUUCUAGAGAUAGAAAGAUAGCUAUAUAUCACACAGGUGGUGCAUGGUUGUCGUCAGCUCGUGUCGUGAGAUGUUGGGUUAAGUCCCGCAACGAGCGCAACCCUUGUCUUCUGUUACCAGCAUUAGGUUGGGGACUCAGGAGAGACUGCCGGUGACAAACCGGAGGAAGGUGGGGAUGACGUCAAAUCAUCAUGCCCCUUAUGGCCUGGGCUACACACGUACUACAAUGGCGCCUACAAAGAGCAGCGACACCGCGAGGUGGAGCGAAUCUCAUAAAGGGCGUCUCAGUUCGGAUUGAAGUCUGCAACUCGACUUCAUGAAGUCGGAAUCGCUAGUAAUCGCAGAUCAGCAUGCUGCGGUGAAUACGUUCUCGGGCCUUGUACACACCGCCCGUCAAACCAUGGGAGUUGGUAAUACCCGAAGCCGGUGGCAUAACCGCAAGGAGUGAGCCGUCGAAGGUAGGACCGAUGACUGGGGUUAAGUCGUAACAAGGUAUCCCUACGGGAACGUGGGGAUGGAUCACCUCCUUUCUAAGGAGAAAGUACAAAGAAGCAGAUAUUUCCUGUUCGGUUUUGGAAGACCGAAAGAAUCUUCCAAGA